rnacentral:rRNA from 1 species
AGCGGAGGAAAAGAAACCAACAGGGAUUGCCCCAGUAACGGCGAGUGAAGCGGCAACAGCUCAGAUUUGAAAUCCGGCGCCCGCGCCCGAGUUGUAAUCUGCAGAGGAGGCCUCUGGCGACGCGCCGCCCGAGUUCCCUGGAACGGGACGCCUUAGAGGGUGAGAGCCCCGUAAGGGACGGCGACCAGCCUGUGUGAGGCCCCAUCGACGAGUCGAGUAGUUUGGGAAUGCUGCUCUAAAUGGGAGGUAAAUUUCUUCUAAAGCUAAAUAUCAGCCAGAGACCGAUAGCGCACAAGUAGAGUGAUCGAAAGAUGAAAAGCACUUUGGAAAGAGGGUGAAAAAGUACGUGAAAUUGUUGAAAGGGAAGCGCUUGUGACCAGACUCGCGCCCGGCGGAUCACCCAGCCUCGGCUGGUGCACUCCGCCGGGCCCGGGCCAGCACCGGUCUCGCGCGGGGGAGAAAGGCGGCGGGAACGUGGCCCCUCGGGGUGUUAUAGCCCGCCGCGCAAUGCCCUGCGUCGGGACCGAGGCCCGCGCUCUGCAAGGGUGCUGGCGUAAUGGUCAUCAGCGGCCCGUCUUGAAACACGGACCAAGGAGUCGUCCUCGCAUGCGAGUGUUUGGGUGUAAAACCCCGGCGCGUAAUGAAAGUGAACGCAGGUGGGAGCCUCGGCGCACCAUCGACCGAUCCUGAUGUUCUCGGAUGGAUUUGAGUAGGAGCAUGCGGGGCCGGACCCGAAAGAAGGUGAACUAUGCGUGUAUAGGGUGAAGCCAGAGGAAACUCUGGUGGAGGCUCGCAGCGGUUCCUGACGUGCAAAUCGAUCGUCAAAAUAUGCCGCAUGGGGCGAAAGACCUAAUCGAACCUUCCUAGUAGCUGGUUUCCGCCGAAGUUUCCCUCAGGAUAGCAGUGUUGAGCUCAGUUUUAUGAGGUAAAGCGAAUGAUUAGGGACUCGGGGGCGCUAUUUUGCCUUCAUCCAUUCUCAAACUUUAAAUAUGUAAGAAGCCCUUGUUACUUUACUGAACGUGGGCAUUCGAAUGUAUCAACAUUAGUGGGCCAUUUUUGGUAAGCAGAACUGGCGAUGCGGGAUGAACCGAACGCGGGGUUAAGGUGUCCAGAGUAGACGCUCAUCAGACACCACAAAAGGUGUUAGUACAUCUUGACUAGCAG